UUUAGAAAACAACAAUCAGUAUUUAUUGCUGUCCAUACAGCUUUGGUUACAAGGCAAGGGGGCUGCAGGGGUCCAUCCAGCUCCCGCAGGCGAGCACUGGCAGAAGACACAAGAGCUGGGUCACCUAUACCUCAGGGUAGGGGAGAUGGAUAUGCUUAGCCCCCCCACCAGGAGACAAGGGGUUCCCCAGCACCCUAGGCAGCCGGGUAUGGUAUAUAUGUCCCGUGUGGGAAUGCUAAAGCACUUAAGGAGUUUGUUUAUGCCUUAUAGGUCAGCUCAGUUUCUGUCUCUCUCAUCUGGGUUUUCCCAAUCUUUCUUCCUCCCAUUCCAUCAUGCAGCCCCUGCUUGGUUUGCCAUCAAAGAGGAGCGCUGGGACAUUGUUUUCAUCUCUUUGAGCUCCAUCCCUCCCUGCUGGGGUCAGAGCUGGAGCAGGUCAGCUCGGUGGGUCCAGCCCAGACCAGCAGUUUGGACCACAGGCUUCAGCAGUGAAAGGCAAAGGGGAGGGAGGAAAUGAGCUGCAUCUGGGAAAGGUACUGAGGGCGGCAGGGCCUGAUCCUGCGACAUGCAGGAAGGGUGCAGGCACCCUGGGUGCUCCCAGCACCCAGCCAGUGGGUGCCCUUUGUGCUCCUGAAGGAUUGAAGCCUGUGGGACAGCUUCUUCUGCUCCAUACAAUGGCCUGAUCCAAGCCCACAGGCCCAUCCAGCGUGUCCUGCCAUACCCCUCCUGCCUACAAAGCACCACCAUACCUCUGUCCCUCAGAUCCAUGUCCCCUGGGCCCCCAGGAUCCCAUGUCCAUGCUAUUCCCCUACUCUAAGACUGGUCCUGCUCUUCCUGGUGCUUCAUGUGAGGUUGGUGGUAGGAAGGAUGCGCCUGGCCGGCCAAGGGCCCGGGCACCGGUCACAGCAGGAGUGUCAUCUUUGGUGCUGCUGGACCAGAGAUGCCCUCCCUGGUCAGAGCUUGCUGCUGCAGGUGGAGGUAGGCUCUGGGGAUGGGUGAUGGUCACCCUGUUGACAAUGGACUUUAAUCC
rnacentral:lncRNA from 1 species